UGUCUCUCUGAUCUUUCCGGUAGCCGGCCAUGGUCGCCCGCGCAAAAACCCGAUCCCCGACACGCUGUCGAUCCCAGCCGAGACAAUGUUGGCCGAUGCGUCCUGGACGAGCUUGAGUUGGCGCAUCGGGACGAAGGGGCCGCUGGAGGCCGNCCGCUUUGCCCCCCACGCGCAUCCGGGCCCCCGACGGCGAGCCGCAGCGCAUCCUCGUCAAGGGGCAGCAGCACAUGCCCGGCGAGGAAGCGUGGCUGAUCGGUGAGUUGAGAUCGUCCGGCGAGCGCA
rnacentral:misc_RNA from 1 species